rnacentral:rRNA from 1 species
ACUACGGGUGGCAGCAGUGAGGAAUAUUGGUCAAUGGCCGAGAGGCUGAACCAGCCAAGUCGCGUGAGGGAAGAAUGUCCUAUGGAUUGUAAACCUCUUUUGUCAGGGAGCAAAGUCACCCACGUGUGGGUGUUGGAGAGUACCUGAAGAAAAAGCAUCGGCUAACUCCGUGCCAGCAGCCGCGGUAAUACGGAGGAUGCGAGCGUUAUCCGGAUUUAUUGGGUGUAAAGGGUGCGUAGGCGGGUUAUCAAGUCAGCGGUAAAAGCGUGGAGCUCAACUCCAUCCAGCCGUUGAAACUGGUGAUCUUGAGUGGGCGAGAGGGAUGCGGAAUGCGUGGUGUAGCGGUGAAAUGCAUAGAUAUCACGCAGAACUCCGAUUGCGAAGGCAGCAUACCGGCGCCCGACUGACGCUGAAGCACGAAAGCGUGGGUAUCGAACAGGAUUAGAUACCCGAGUAGUC